rnacentral:rRNA from 1 species
GGCUUAACCCUGAGCGUGCUUUCGAUACGGGUUGACUUGAGGAAGGUAGGGGAGAAUGGAAUUCCUGGUGGAGCGGUGGAAUGCGCAGAUAUCAGGAGGAACACCAGUGGCGAAGGCGGUUCUCUGGGCCUUUCCUGACGUUGAGGAGAGAAAGCGUGGAGAGAGAACAGGCCUAGAUACCCGGGUAGUCCACGCUGUAAACGGUGGGUACUAGGUGUGGGGUCCAUUCCACGGGUUCCGUGCCGUAGGUAACGCUUUAAGUACCCCGCCUGGGGAGUACGGCCGCAAGGCUAAAACUCAAAGGAAUUGACGGGGCCCCGCACAAGCGGCGGAGCAUGCGGAUUAAUUCGAUGCAACGCGUAGAACCUUACCUGGGUUUGACAUGGAUCGGGAGUGGUCAGAGAUGGGUGUGCCUCUUCUGGGGUCGGUUCUCAGGUGGUGCAUGGCUGUCGUCAGCUCGUGUAGUGAGAUGUUGGGUUAAGUCCCGCAACGAGCGCAACCCUUGUUCACUGUUGCCAGCACGUUAUGGUGGGGAGAUCAGUGGAGACCGCCGGGGUCAACUCUGAGGAAGGUGGGGAAGACGUCAAGUCAUCAUUCCCCUUAUGUAGCAGGGCUUCACGCAUUCUACAAUGGGUGGUACAGAGAGUGGCAGAGCCUGUGAGGGUGAGCGAAUCUCGGAAAACCGGUCAUCAGUUAGGAUUGGGGUCUGCAACUGGACCUCAGGUAGUCGGAGUCUCUAGUAAUAGCAGAUCAGCAACGGAGCGGUGAAUAUGUUCCCGGGGGUUGUACACACCGCCCGUCAAGUCAUGAAAGUUGGUAACACCAGAACCCGGUGGCAUAACCUUUGUGG